rnacentral:rRNA from 1 species
UACAGGGGGUUCAAACGUUGCUCGGAAUUAUUGGGCGUAAAGCGCGCGUAGGCGGCUACUUAAGUCGGAUGUGAAAGCCCUUGGCUCAACUGAGGAAGUGCACCCGAAACUGAGUGGCUUGAGUACUAAAGAGGGUCGCGGAAUUCCCGGUGUAGAGGUGAAAUGCGUAGAGAUCCGGAGGAACACCGAAGGCGAAGGCAGUGUCCUGGGGAGUACCUGACGCUCAGGUGCGAAAGCCAGGGGAGCGAACGGG